AUUGAACGCUGGCGGCAUGCUUUACACAUGCAAGUCGAACGGUAACAGGCCGCAAGGUGCUGACGAGUGGCGAACGGGUGAGUAAUGCAUCGGAACGUGCCCAGUCGUGGGGGAUAACGCAGCGAAAGCUGUGCUAAUACCGCAUACGAUCUAUGGAUGAAAGCGGGGGACCGUAAGGCCUCGUGCGAUUGGAGCGGCCGAUGUCAGAUUAGGUAGUUGGUGGGGUAAAGGCUCACCAAGCCAACGAUCUGUAGCUGGUCUGAGAGGACGACCAGCCACACUGGGACUGAGACACGGCCCAGACUCCUACGGGAGGCAGCAGUGGGGAAUUUUGGACAAUGGGCGCAAGCCUGAUCCAGCAAUGCCGCGUGCAGGAAGAAGGCCUUCGGGUUGUAAACUGCUUUUGUACGGAACGAAACGGUCUGGGUUAAUACCCUGGGCUAAUGACGGUACCGUAAGAAUAAGCACCGGCUAACUACGUGCCAGCCGCCGCAGUAAGAC
rnacentral:rRNA from 1 species